GAUAUAGCAGGAACUAUUGACAGAGUACCAUUGAAUAUUCAGAGAGCGAAUAUACCUGAUGAAGGCUCAUAGAGCACUUGUGUGUCUGACAGGGCAGUGACGUUCAUUAGCAAAAGUGUCAUGAUUUACUCUAAUGUCGUUGUUUGUUGAUGGCUUCUCACACUUUCAUGCAUACAAUGUGUUGCAUGUUUGUGUGUAAAUGUGACCAGUUGUUUAUUUUUCCCUCUCAUCUACACUGACAUUUUCAAACACUGGUGCUUUGUAAAUUGUGACCAAGAACAAGAUUAGUCUCUCACAUAGCAUGUUUCAUGUUAUGCUUCAGUGAAAACAGGCUGCUUUUACAAUAUCUAACAGCAGUGAAGUGACCGUAACUGCAUGCACCAUUUGGAAUGCAUGUGCUUCCUCCCAUUCGAGUGCAUUCUGGGAUAGAUGAAUAACCUCCAUGGUAACCCAGCUCCCAUUUUUGAAUACUAACCUCUUCUUUUGCUUUCAGGACGGUUAUUAGAACCCUAAUGGUAUUGCAUGCCACAUGUGACAAUUGCCUUUUGUUUGUGUACAUUUUUGAUGGCAACUUUCUUUCAAUGGAAUUGUAAUUUAAAUUAGGCAUAAUUUUAGGCCUAGAACAGAAGAUUUAAGAUCUAAUAUGACCAUUAGUGAUGGUGUUUUCUUAUUCUAGUAAUGUAAGAUUAACAUCAGAUAAAUGUAAGAAUAUGUGUUGAGAUAAGCUUAGGUCUUGCUCCAGGUCUUGUUGCAUGCUAAAUGUGUGUUAGUGCCGUUGUGCUAGCCCAGUUGUCUGACUGAGAGGUGUUUGAUUGACAGCUGAGGAUUUGUGACUGGCCCGUGAAUCAAAACAUCAGGUCAUAUGGCUCAGAGGAGGCUUUGGGGAUUUCUUGGCAAAGUCCUGGUACCUGGGCGAGCUUAAUUCCAUUCCAAGUGUCGAACGGGACUCCGAUUCUGCCAACAAAUGUCCAGAAUUACAGCAUAAACAUCAUUGGUGAGCCCCUCCUCCAGGCAGAAUCAAGCAAUUGAACUGGACCCCGGAGAGACAGGUCCUCGGACAAACCAGCUAACAGCACUUAUACAAUCGACAUGGACCUUUGUCCCACCCUCUCAAGGACAUUGGCUUAGAGCAGUAGAGUGAGUCGGGUCAAAGUGUUCUCUUCUGACAUGAGCCUCUCCACACCAGUCAGUCAUUGUGUAAGGAGGCCCCUGAACUGAGAUACUGUGAUCUUUACCAUACAAACUUUAGAUGCCUUACUGUAUAUGCAUGACAUGCUAGUCUCUCUUGUUAGUGUUUCUCUUGUUCUUAUGUCACGAUUGCUAGUCUUGGUUUACGAAACGAUUUAGAGGGGGCUGGCCACACAAGGGCUGGCUGGCUGGAUGGUUUGUAAAGCGGGCUGCAAUUCGAACAAACUUUCAUCAAACAGAGGUUUAUCGUAUUCGUAACAUAAACAUAGGAACAAUUUUCAAUGAACUGAAUGUUUCUAUUUUCAUAUUACCCUCAACAUGUAAUGUACCUACGGUGGAAAACCUUUUAAAUCCGUAAUCUUGUCAGUCCUGUACUAAUUUCCUUUAAAGGUAAAGGUUGGAAUUUACUCUCCAGAGUUGAGAACUCUGAAAACCUUUUUUUUUUUCUUCUUCUUUCUUCAAUGAAAGAAAACACCUAUAUUACUAGGUAAGAAAUACAACCCCUUUUUUCAUUUUCAUUUUUUUUUUUUUUUAUAUAUUUCCUUUGAAAAGGAUUUUGAGAAAAAUAAGACAAUAUCUCAUAAGAGGCAAGUGCAAUUUAAAUGAUUUUACUGAAGGGAAGCUAUCAUAGUCUGUCUGCCCUAAGACUCUAAAGGAAUGGGGAGUAAAUGUUUUUAGGUGAACUUUAAAACAUAAAGAAGAAAAAUGAAAUAAAAAUCACAU